GAGUCAUUGGGACUAAACAUAAACCUAAAGGCGCAAUGAAAGUAAAGGCCCGCCUAGCGCGGGCCUAGGGAGGAUGGGCCGGUCACGGUGCCGGCCCCGCACUCCCGGGGCGUCUCGUUCUCAUCGCGAGAAGAGGCGCACCCAGAGCGUACACGCUGGGACCCGAAAGAUGGUGAACUAUGCCUGGUCAGGACGAAGUCAGGGGAAACCCUGAUGGAGGUCCGUAGCGAUUCUGACGUGCAAAUCGAUCGUCGGAACUGGGUAUAGGGGCGAAAGACUAAUCGAACCUUCUAGUAGCUGGUUCCCUCCGAAGUUUCCCUCAGGAUAGCUGGCGCUCGCCUUUGCGAGUCUCAUUCGGUAAAGCGAAUGAUUAGAGGCAUUGGGGUCGAAACGGCCUCAACCUAUUCUCAAACUUUAAAUGGGUGAGAUCUCCGGCUUGCUUGAAGCUUGAACGCCGCGAGAGAUCGGAUCACAGAGUGCCAAGUGGGCCACUUUUGGUAAGCAGAACUGGCGCUGUGGGAUGAACCAAACGCCGAGUUAAAGCGCCUAAAUCGACGCUUAUGGGAUACCAUGAAAGGCGUUGGUAACUUAAGACAGCAGGACGGUGG
rnacentral:rRNA from 1 species